rnacentral:rRNA from 1 species
AGUAAAAGUCGUAACAAGGUUUCCGUAGGUGAACCUGCGGAAGGAUCAUUACCGAGAGUUGCAGGCUUUUGUCUGCCAUCUCUUACCCAUGUCUUUUGCGUACUACACGUUUCCUCGGCAGGUCCGCCUGCCGUUAGGACCACAUUAAACCAUUUGCAGUUGCAGUCAGCGUCUGAAAAACUUAAUAAUUACAACUUUUAACAACGGAUCUCUUGGUUCUGGCAUCGAUGAAGAACGCAGCGAAAUGCGAUAAGUAGUGUGAAUUGCAGAAUUCAGUGAAUCAUCGAAUCUUUGAACGCACAUUGCGCCCCUUGGUAUUCCAUGGGGCAUGCCUGUUCGAGCGUCAUUUGUACCUUCAAGCUCUGCUUGGUGUUGGGUGUUUGUCCCGCCUUUGUGCGCGGACUCGCCUUAAAGCAAUUGGCAGCCGGCGUAUUAGUUUCGGAGCGCAGCACAAAUCGCGCUCUGUGUCUUAUACGGUAGCAUCCAUCAAGACUAUUUUACACUCUUGACCUCGGAUCAGGUAGGGAUACCCGCUGAACUUAAGCAUAUCAAUAAGCGGAGGA